GGGGAUGAGCGGGGAUAAAAGGCUGCCCUGACAAUUCACGUCCAACACGACGCCGCCUCAAUAAUUAACAAUUAUUCCCCAAACGCAAUCAACUUUUAAAUCAGUGCUUUGUUAUGAUUUAAUGUUGCAUUUAUUGAAUUAUUGUUUUUUUUUUACAAGUGCUGCGACACACGGGAGGCAAGUGAACGCACCACGAUGUGAUGUAGUAGUGAGCUUGACAGGAGGUCUGCGGCAUCACAAUUAAAAAAGGCUUCAUUCAUGCACGCUGGACUAUUUGCUCUUCAAGCUGGAGGCUCUCAUCGCGCCUUUGAAGGAGGAUACCUGGAGGACAAAAGUGAGCUGGCUGCAGGGGGCGGCAGGUAGACGUCCCUGUCGCUGCUCCACCACCCAGAGAUGUUCCGGGAUUGAAGGAGCGAAACAUCCGUGAAGGAUCCGUGACCCUGCAGUCAGCACCACAUGGCACCUUCAAAGGUGGAGUGUGAUGCUGCUCUGAUUAAUGUCCUCCUGCUCUCAUGUUUCCGUGGGUCUUUCUCUUCCGCCUAAGAUCUGCCCCCGAGAGACGCAGCAAGUCAGUCCGACCUCUCCCAGCCUCGUCUUCCUCAUUCUACUUGCGGCGUGACGGCGCUCGCCGACAUCAAAGCUCUCCGCCCUCCUAGCUGCACUUCUCUGUGUGUAUGAAGAGUCGGGAAUGACUGUUUCCUAGAAGCUGAGCGCCUGCUUCCACAUUAGGUGUGUAUUGUUGUGGACCGCUCUUCAAUAUCUCUUUGAUGAUUGGCUGUCAGCAAUCUGGACAUAGCGCCACAUCAAUUAUGGAUACGGCGCAUGUGGAAGUGAUGUGCACUUUGCCUCGCGACUGUUCGAAAAUGAGAGGCUGGUAUGACAGAAUGUGUGACAUGUGUGCACGCACGGCGGUGGUGGGCGUGCACGUGCUGCCUUCCUGCCUUCAGCCAUGCUUGCAUGUCAGAAUGCACGGCGGUUCUUUGCAUGAUCUCGUCUAAUGACAGCAUUCACUCUGUCAUCUUUUGUGAGGAAUUCACACUCCAUUCCAUUCUUGACGUCAAGGGGAAAAAAAGAUAGUUUUUUCUCUGACUCUCUGGAGCAGGGGUCACCAACCUUUUUGAAAGCAAGAGCUACUUCUUGGGUACGGAUUAAUGCGAAGGGCUACCAGUUUGAUACACACUUCAAUACAUUGCCAGAAAUAGCCAAUUUGCUCUAUUUACCUUUAACUC